GACGAACGCUGGCGGCGUGCUUAACACAUGCGAGUCGAACGGAAAGGCCCUGCUUUUGUGGGGUGCUCGAGUGGCGAACGGGUGAGUAACACGUGAGUAACCUGCCCUUGACUUUGGGAUAACUUCAGGAAACUGGGGCUAAUACCGGAUAGGAGCUCCUGCUGCAUGGUGGGGGUUGGAAAGUUUCGGCGGUUGGGGAUGGACUCGCGGCUUAUCAGCUUGUUGGUGGGGUAGUGGCUUACCAAGGCUUUGACGGGUAGCCGGCCUGAGAGGGUGACCGGCCACAUUGGUACUGAGAUACGGCCCAGACUCCUACGGGAGACAGCAGUGGGGAAUAUUGCACAAUGGGCGGAAGCCUGAUGCAGCAACGCCGCGUGCGGGAUGACGGCCUUCGGGUUGUAAACCGCUUUCGCCUGUGACGAAGCGUGAGUGACGAUAAUGGGUAAAGAAGCACCGGCUAACUACGUG
rnacentral:rRNA from 1 species